rfam:Echinops telfairi cont1.406485, whole genome shotgun sequence.
GUGCUGUCUGUCUUUUCCAUCUGAACAUCACACUGAUCUGAGAAGGUCUGGGCCAUGGUCUACUGAUGGGCAGAACAUGGGCCAGACCGGGGAAGUCGGUGUGCACAGGUAGUUCUAGCCAUCCCCAAACACACUCAGCUGUGUCAUGCUGGAGGGGCAGAGCAGCCAGGGUGCUGUCUGGAAGUUUCCUCCUGGAUGGUAGUUGCCUAGCAACAAAAU